UACGUAGGGGGCUAGCGUUGUCCGGAAUCAUUGGGCGUAAGGAGCGUGUAGGCGGCCCGGUAAGUCCGCUGUAAAAGUCAAAGGCUCAACCUUUGAAUGUCAGUGGAUACUGCCGGGCUAGAGUCCGGAAGAGGCGAGUGGAACUCCUGGUGUAGCGGUGGAAUGCGCAGAUAUCAGGAAGAACACCAACGGCGAAGGCAGCUCGCUGGGACGGUACUGACGCUGAGACGCGAAAGCGUGGGGAGCGAACAGG
rnacentral:rRNA from 1 species